GAUGAAGAACGCAGCGAAAUGCGAUAAGUAGUGUGAAUUGCAGAAUUCAGUGAAUCAUCGAAUCUUUGAACGCACAUUGCGCCCGCCAGUAUUCUGGCGGGCAUGCCUGUUCGAGCGUCAUUUCAACCAUCAAGCCCUGCUUGCGUUGGGGUCCUGCGGCUGCCCGCAGGCCCUGAAAACCAGUGGCGGGCUCGCUAGUCACACCGAGCGCAGUAAUACAUCUCGCUUUGGGCGUGCGGCGGGUUCUUGCCGUUAAACACCCCCUUUUUACCAAGGUUGACCUCGGAUCAGGUAGGAAUACCCGCUGAACUUAAGCAUAUCAAUAAGCGGAGGA
rnacentral:misc_RNA from 1 species